GGACGGGCCUCUGGAGAGAUCCGGUGCAAAACCGGACGCCGAAGGAGCAAAAACGGUUUUUUAACAAUACUUAAAAAACUGUUUGAAACUCUCAGGCAAAAGGACAGGGGACAGGCU
rnacentral:ncRNA from 2 species